rnacentral:rRNA from 1 species
AGAAUCAACGCUGGCGGCGUGCCUAACACAUGCAAGUCGAACGAGAAAGUGGAGCAAUCCAUUAGUAAAGUGGCGCACGGGUGAGUAACACGUGACUAACCUACCCUUGAGUGGGGGGAUAACCUAGAGAAAUCUGGGCUAAUACCGCAUAAUACCUUCGGGUCAAAGGAGCAAUUCGCUUAAGGAGGGGGUCGCGGCCGAUUAGUUAGUUGGCGGGGUAAUGGCCCACCAAGACUAUGAUCGGUAUCCGGCCUGAGAGGGCGCACGGACACACUGGAACUGAAACACGGUCCAGACUCCUACGGGAGGCAGCAGUGGGAAUUUGCGCAAUGGGGGAAACCCUGACGCAGCAACGCCGCGUGGAGGAUGAAGCCCCUUGGGGCGUAAACUCCUUUCGAUCGGACGAUAAUGACGGUACCGAGAGAAGAAGCCCCGGCUAACUUCGCGCCAGCAGCCGC